GAGGAGAAAGACUUGUUUAUCCCUGAGGGAGUUGUCACAGCACGUACAGACUUCUGAGGUGCUUUUAUCUGGGGCUGCAGGGUUUCUCAGGCGUUCUCCUCUGCCUUUGCAGUGUCAGGCAUCCCUUGGAAUAAUCGCUUGGUCCUGGCAGCUUUACAAUUAAUGAAGCUGGAGAGGGUUUUUUGUGUCUUUGAACUCAUCCUUUCAAUAACACCAAAGGAUUUCUUACACCCUUGUAGGGUUGAGCCAGAUGUUGGCUUUCCGUUUGAAGCAAAAACCUGGAAAUCUGUGUGCAGCGCUUCUGCGCGCACCAGCUGGGUGUCUCAAAAGUGGAAAGCUAUUGCAGACUUCGCCUGCCUUUAGUGAGAGGCAGAUGCUCUUCUGUGGGUGUGAUGUGACAGCGCGUUGGGUCCCCCUUCACUUUGAGGGGUUAAAUGGGUAUGUGGGCUUGUAUCCAUGUGCGUUGUUACAGGUAUCUGAGUUUUGUAGUGUCGUGUAUGGGGAGGAGGGAAUAUUCCCUGAGAUUUUACUAAGUGGAGGGCAAUAGCAUAUGAACUGUUCUUCCUGCUCCCAUGGGAUAAAUUUUUGUUGUUUUGCCAUCUUGAGACAGAAAUAGAGUGCACAGAGUUCUUUUGAAAGGAAGUUUUUGAGGUAGAGGAGCGUGGGCUGUAUUUAUACCCGCGUGGCUGGGUGGAGAGGCUUCACCACGGUUGCCCACCGGAAGGGAGCCCAGGCAUCUGCACACGCGGGACGGUGAGGGUCUUAGGAGGGCUGAGGCUGUGUGCUAGCCCCGCAGAGCUGGCUGUCGUAGUUGCCUGUCACUGUAGUCGCAGCUCUGAACCUGGCCGAACAAGCAUCGAACGUUGGAGGUGGAGACAGAUUCAGUCUAAAGGAGAGCUGGAGAGAUGGCAGUUCAUCUAGUCACCUCUGCAUACACGCUCCCCUCCUAAACUUGUUUCCCUGGGAGCGCAAGCGCAGGAGACGUAGCGUGGCGUCCCGCCGACUCCCGCGGAGACGUCGGAAACAGCUGUGAUGCUCCGGCCACCGCAGUCCCCGACGCUUCGAGCAAGGCGCCAGCUGUGUCCGGACGCGGGACCCUCUCAGCGCGGGGCCCCGUGACCUGCGCUCGUGCUAAUGCCCAAACGCGCCCUGGACUCGUGCUGCAGCGCUAGCUUUUCCGUUGGAAAGCGGUUUUCUUCCCUCCCCAGCCCUGUACCAUCUCUCCGUCACCGCGGCGGCCGCCACGUGCCCUGCCGUGGCACGCCUGCUCGGCGCGAAGCAGCAGCGCGUAAAGCGGGCCGUACCUUUCCCGAAGGAGAGCUUCUUGAGCAGCUGGGGGGUGGUGUCUCUGGGGUGUAUCUCCACUGUCACCUGAGUUCCUGCGAGAAACAGCGAGAAACCCGGUAAGAAAGGGGAAACUACGCAGCAAGCGGAUGCAAACGCAGAGGGAGAUCAGUGCAAGGGGUCAGUCUGCUGAGCCCGAGUCGCGUGUGCUCGUGGGGAAGAGCCCCGCUUGCUCGGGGCGCUGGCCGGGCACGCGGGAGGCGCAAACGGCAGCUGCCCCGGGCUCGUUUCCUGCUGGGUCCAGGAUUUCCUGGCACGUGGCAAACCCGUCUGCUGACGGCCCUCUCCGAAACGGCACCAAAACUCACUCUCAACUUUGGCAAAGCAGGAGGUACCUCUGGCACUGGUGAUGGUACCAGGCCGGUCCAUAAAUAAAGCAGAGGUCCUCAGGGAGGAUUAUGCUGCAGUUUAAUGAGGUUUUUUUUUUAACCAUAUUAAAAAUUUCUCGAUGGAGAUAAGGUAAAAAGAUAAUUUCUUUCACUGAUUUUCCUCAGGAAUAAAAUAGAAGAAGAUGCAAAGCUAUGAAAGAGGUUUGACUUGUGAUAUUAAAAUAUCCGCACAGGCUAUUGUGUCGAACUGGCAGAGCCUUGUCAGAGCCAUCUGAGGGCAGGAGCUGGGUGCUGAGAAACCCGCACUGUUCAUGUCGUGAUGCUCGAAGAACCUCAGAAGAGAAUUUGGGGGUCUUUUAUUUAAAGUUUCAUUCUGAAAGGGAGAGGGAAUUAGAAGGGAAAAAAGUUAGAUGUCUUGCAAACAUUUCUAGAACUUUUUGAAAGAGACCGCAUUUUUUGGCAAGUAUUUUAGAAGAUAUCUAAACCUCAAGGUUUCUCUGGAGAACUUCUGUACACUUGUGGGCUCCUCAUUUUGGAUCAGACAGUGAGAAGUUAGAGACUAAAGUUGGAGACUAAAGGUCAAGAUGUUCAUGCGUCCUGGGACUGCCAUCUAAUUGCACUUGUUAGCUCUCACAGUUUCAUCAAGAGUCUCGUGACAUUUGGGGUUUUCCAUGAAACCCAGCUCUUGGAACCAGUUAAUUAGAGCCACUUUGUGAAGAAGCGGCAAGCCUCUGAAUGUGAGCACUUCUACGGCCCCCAUAGAGGAGACGAAACGGAAGAUGGUUCUGUCGUAAGAUGGCUCCCGGGGGACUUGCUGGCCUGAUUGGAUGGAGAAAAACACCUCAGUGGCUCGGCGGGCGUGGAGGCGUGCUGACGGGCGUGCCCGGAGCGGCGGCAGAUUAAACCUGUAAAUUUGCUCGGCAGCCCAAGUAAGUCAUGACGCCGCAAACCCGACUCGCCUCUGCAGCCCAC